CGUUCAUAAAAGUGCUUGUUUAGCUGCUAACAGACUCAGAUUAAUAUUCUAGGUGUCUGACAAAAUUAUUGGAAGGAUUUCUAAGGAGGUCGACCUUUCUGUUAAAGAUUAAGAUCCUUUUUAAAAACAUAAAAUCAUCUGAGAAAACC